rnacentral:rRNA from 1 species
UACGUAGGGUGCAAGCGUUAAUCGGAAUUACUGGGCGUAAAGCGUGCGCAGGCGGUGAUGUAAGACAGAUGUGAAAUCCCCGGGCUCAACCCAGGAACUGCGUCCAAGACUGGGAGGCUUGAAUCCGGGAGAGGGAUGCGGAAUUCCAGGUGUAGCGGUGAAAUGCGUAGAUAUCUGGAGGAACACCGGUGGCGAAGGCGGCAUCCUGGACCGGUAUUGACACUGAGGCGCGAAAGCCAGGGGAGCAAACGGG